UUAAGCGACUAAGCGUACACGGUGGAUGCCCUGGCAGUCAGAGGCGAUGAAGGACGUGCUAAUCUGCGAAAAGCGUCGGUAAGGUGAUAUGAACCGUUACAGCCGGCGAUGUCCGAAUGGGGAAACCCAGUGCAAUUCGUUGCACUAUCGUUAACUGAAUACAUAGGUUAACGAGGCGAACCGGGGGAACUGAAACAUCUAAGUACCCCGAGGAAAAGAAAUCAACCGAGAUUCCCCCAGUAGCGGCGAGCGAACGGGGAGCAGCCCAGAGUCUGAAUCAGCUUGUGUGUUAGUGGAACGGUCUGGAAAGUCCGACGGUACAGGGUGAUAGUCCCGUACACCAAAAUGCACAGGUUGUGAACUCGAAGAGUAGGGCGGGACACGUGGUAUCCUGUCUGAAUAUGGGGGGACCAUCCUCCAAGGCUAAAUACUCCUGACUGACCGAUAGUGAACCAGUACCGUGAGGGAAAGGCGAAAAGAACCCCGGCGAGGGGAGUGAAAAAGAACCUGAAACCGUGUACGUACAAGCAGUGGGAGCACCUUCGGGUGUGACUGCGUACCUUUUGUAUAAUGGGUCAGCGACUUAUAUUCUGUAGCAAGGUUAACCGUAUAGGGGAGCCGCAGGGAAACCGAGUCUUAACUGGGCGUUAAGUUGCAGGGUAUAGACCCGAAACCCGGUGAUCUAGCCAUGGGCAGGUUGAAGGUUGGGUAACACUAACUGGAGGACCGAACCGACUAAUGUUGAAAAAUUAGCGGAUGACUUGUGGCUGGGGGUGAAAGGCCAAUCAAACCGGGAGAUAGCUGGUUCUCCCCGAAAGCUAUUUAGGUAGCGCCUCGUGAAUUCAUCUUCGGGGGUAGAGCACUGUUUCGGCUAGGGGGUCAUCCCGACUUACCAACCCGAUGCAAACUACGAAUACCGAAGAAUGUUAUCACGGGAGACACACGGCGGGUGCUAACGUCCGUCGUGAAGAGGGAAACAACCCAGACCGCCAGCUAAGGUCCCAAAGUCAUGGUUAAGUGGGAAACGAUGUGGGAAGGCACAGACAGCCAGGAUGUUGGCUUAGAAGCAGCCAUCAUUUAAAGAAAGCGUAAUAGCUCACUGGUCGAGUCGGCCUGCGCGGAAGAUGUAACGGGGCUAAACCAUGCACCGAAGCUGCGGCAGCGACACUAUGUGUUGUUGGGUAGGGGAGCGUUCUGUAAGCCUGCGAAGGUGACCUGUGAGGGUUGCUGGAGGUAUCAGAAGUGCGAAUGCUGACAUAAGUAACGAUAAAGCGGGUGAAAAGCCCGCUCGCCGGAAGACCAAGGGUUCCUGUCCAACGUUAAUCGGGGCAGGGUGAGUCGACCCCUAAGGCGAGGCCGAAAGGCGUAGUCGAUGGGAAACAGGUUAAUAUUCCUGUACUUGGUGUUACUGCGAAGGGGGGACGGAGAAGGCUAUGUUAGCCGGGCGACGGUUGUCCCGGUUUAAGCAUGUAGGCUGAUUGUCCAGGCAAAUCCGGAUAAUCAAGGCUGAGGUGUGAUGACGAGGCACUACGGUGCUGAAGUAACAAAUGCCCUGCUUCCAGGAAAAGCCUCUAAGCAUCAGGUAACAUCAAAUCGUACCCCAAACCGACACAGGUGGUCAGGUAGAGAAUACCAAGGCGCUUGAGAGAACUCGGGUGAAGGAACUAGGCAAAAUGGUGCCGUAACUUCGGGAGAAGGCACGCUGGUGUGUAGGUGAAGUCCCUGCGGAUGGAGCUGAGACCAGUCGAAGAUACCAGCUGGCUGCAACUGUUUAUUAAAAACACAGCACUGUGCAAACACGAAAGUGGACGUAUACGGUGUGACGCCUGCCCGGUGCCGGAAGGUUAAUUGAUGGGGUUAUCCGUAAGGAGAAGCUCUUGAUCGAAGCCCCGGUAAACGGCGGCCGUAACUAUAACGGUCCUAAGGUAGCGAAAUUCCUUGUCGGGUAAGUUCCGACCUGCACGAAUGGCGUAAUGAUGGCCAGGCUGUCUCCACCCGAGACUCAGUGAAAUUGAACUCGCUGUGAAGAUGCAGUGUACCCGCGGCAAGACGGAAAGACCCGUGAACCUUUACUAUAGCUUGACACUGAACAUUGAGCCUUGAUGUGUAGGAUAGGUGGGAGGCUUUGAAGCGUGGACGCCAGUCUGCGUGGAGCCAACCUUGAAAUACCACCCUUUAAUGUUUGAUGUUCUAACGUUGGCCCCUUACCGGGGUUGCGGACAGUGUCUGGUGGGUAGUUUGACUGGGGCGGUCUCCUCCCAAAGCGUAACGGAGGAGCACGAAGGUUAGCUAAUCCUGGUCGGACAUCAGGAGGUUAGUGCAAUGGCAUAAGCUAGCUUGACUGCGAGCGUGACGGCGCGAGCAGGUGCGAAAGCAGGUCAUAGUGAUCCGGUGGUUCUGAAUGGAAGGGCCAUCGCUCAACGGAUAAAAGGUACUCCGGGGAUAACAGGCUGAUACCGCCCAAGAGUUCAUAUCGACGGCGGUGUUUGGCACCUCGAUGUCGGCUCAUCACAUCCUGGGGCUGAAGUAGGUCCCAAGGGUAUGGCUGUUCGCCAUUUAAAGUGGUACGCGAGCUGGGUUUAGAACGUCGUGAGACAGUUCGGUCCCUAUCUGCCGUGGGCGCUGGAGAAUUGAGGGGGGCUGCUCCUAGUACGAGAGGACCGGAGUGGACGCAUCACUGGUGUUCGGGUUGUCAUGCCAAUGGCACUGCCCGGUAGCUAAAUGCGGAAGAGAUAAGUGCUGAAGCAUCUAAGCACGAAACUUGCCCCGAGAUGAGUUCUCCCUGAGACUUUAAGUCUCCUGAAGGAACGUUAAAGACGAUGACGUUGAUAGGCCGGGUGUGUAAGCGCAGCGAUGCGUUGAGCUAACCGGUACUAAUGAACCGUGAGGCUUAACCUU
rnacentral:rRNA from 1 species